rnacentral:rRNA from 1 species
CUACGGGCCGCAGCAGUGAGGAAUAUUGCACAAUGGGGGAAACCCUGAUGCAGCAACGCCGCGUGGAGGAUGACGCAUUUCGGUGUGUAAACUCCUUUUAUAUGUCAAGAAAAUGACGGUAGCAUAUGAAUAAGCACCGGCUAACUCCGUGCCAGCAGCCGCGGUAAUACGGAGGGUGCAAGCGUUAUUCGGAAUCACUGGGCGUAAAGGACGCGUAGGCGGGUUAUCAAGUCAGGUGUGAAAUCCUACAGCUUAACUGUAGAACUGCACUUGAAACUGGUAGCCUAGAGUAUGGGAGGGGAAGAUGGAAUUAGUGGUGUAGGGGUAAAAUCCGUAGAUAUCACUAGGAAUACCGAAAGCGAAGGCGAUCUGCUGGAACAUUACUGACGCUAAGGCGUGAAAGCGUGGGGAGCAAACAGGAUUAGAUACCCGAGUAGUC